UACGUAGGGGGCUAGCGUUGUCCGGAAUCAUUGGGCGUAAAGCGCGUGUAGGCGGUCCGGUAAGUCCGCUGUGAAAGUCGGGGGCUCAACCCUCGGAUGCCGGUGGAUACUGUCGGGCUUGAGUACGGAAGAGGCGAGUGGAAUUCCUGGUGUAGCGGUGAAAUGCGCAGAUAUCAGGAGGAACACCAAUUGCGAAGGCAGCUCGCUGGGCCGACACUGACACUGAGAGACGAAAGCUAGGGGAGCAAAUGGG
rnacentral:rRNA from 1 species